rnacentral:rRNA from 1 species
UUGACCUCGGAUCAGGUAGGGAUACCCGCUGAACUUAAGCAUAUCAAUAAGCGGAGGAAAAGAAACCAACAGGGAU